rnacentral:piRNA from 1 species
AUCACAAAUGAAGGCUCGGAAAG